GUGAAAAACUCAGUUAAUGCUGUUUAAACAAUGUGAUCUAGUGGAAUCAAAAAUGUCUUUUAUGCCGGAACUAUUAACAUGCGACGACGCUCUGCACGCUCUCUUGGUCCGUUAAAUUCCGUUACAAUUUUAUCAUCAUCAACGUCUCUACAUAAUUUUUUUGACGCGGCAUUUCCAUCUGCUCGAUUCCACAACAAUUUUCCACUUUUGUCAGCUUGGGAGUGCAAAACGAAUUUAUAUGGAAAUGUUAAGUUCAUUUGCGAGUUGGCAUUCAAAGUUCUAAUGUGCAACGUGAACUUCGUGGACUGCUGUCAGCUCCUGUGCUGAGCUGGCUUGGAAUUUAUGCAUGUGAAUAAGUACAGCGACAAAUUGACUUUGGCCCAGGAGGAGGGCGGAGAUCAAGCAGCCAAUUGGCAGUUAACAGCCUGACAGACAAUGUGCGCAUCUUUCAAUUAGCACGUCCAUUUGA